rnacentral:rRNA from 1 species
UAUGCUUAGCCCUAAACCUAAAUAGUAAACAUAACAAUACUAUUCGCCAGAGAUCUACUAGCAACAGCUUAAAACUCAAAGGACUUGGCGGUGCUUUAUAUCCCUCUAGAGGAGCCUGUUCUGUAAUCGAUAAACCCCGAUAAACCUCACCAGCCCUUGCUAAUACAGCCUAUAUACCGCCAUCUUCAGCAAACCCUAAAAAGGAACCAUAGUAAGCAAAACCAUGGAACAUAAAAACGUUAGGUCAAGGUGUAGCCCAUGGACUGGGAAGAAAUGGGCUACAUUUUCUAGCAUAGAACAAUCACGGAAAUUCUCGUGAAACCGAGAGUGGAAGGAGGAUUUAGUAGUAAAUUAAGAAUAGAGAGCUUAAUUGAAUAAGGCCAUGAAGCACGCACACACCGCCCGUCACCCUCCUCAAGUAUUAAAAUACAUUCAACCAACCCUAUUAUAACUGUACAUACAUAUUAGAGGAGACAAGUCGUAACAAGGUAAGCGUACUGGAAAGUGCGCUUGGACAAAU